GGCCCAGGUAGCGCCAGAGCUGGGGCUGCGCGCCCCGGGCCGCGCUCCGCCGAGGGAACGCCCAGUCACCGGCCAAGAGCCCCCGUGGAGAGUGAGCCGGGUGCGUCCCGUACUGUAUUCAACCCACUGUAAGCCUGUUGAAUUUUUUAGGACUAGAUGAGUAUAGAGUCUCAAAAGAGAAAGCAGAGGUUGCCAGGGAAACGGUAGUCUACUUGGGGCUAGAAAUCUUCUGUGGACAUCGACAAUUCAGCAGAGAACAAAAAGAAGUCAUCUGCCGUCUUCCUGAGCCCCACACUGUGAGAGAGAUGCAAGCCUUCCUGGGAAUGACAAUAGAAGAGGCCUGUUCCAGCAGACCAGACCUGAAGGACAUGCCUCUGGAGAAUCCAGACUGCAAACUAUAUACAGAUGGAAGUAACUUCAUGAGAAAGAGUAAGCAAAUGACAGGCUAUGCAGUGACAACCGUGGAUAAGGCGAUUGAGGCAAAGACCUUGUCAUCAGAUGUAUCAUCACAGAAGGCUGAACUCAUUGCACUGACAAGAGCUCUAGAACUGAGUGAGGGGAAGAAGGUGAAUAUAUGGACGAUUCCAAAUAUGCCUUUAGUGUUGUCCAUGCCCAUGGUGCCAUUUGGAAGGAGAGAGGGCUACUAACUGCUCAAGGCAGAAGGACAAAAACACAUUCCAAGAUGCUGUCUUGGCGCUCCUUAGAAAUCAAGACUGGGAUCAGCUCUUCAAGACUUCUUCUUCUUCUUUUUAUAAACAGAGUUCAGGCCUCAUCUGAGAGGGGAGGAUUUAGAAGGUACUAGAGAUGGGGGACAUGAUUUCACUGGGUGUGCAUCUAAUUGGGGAUUCUUGCCAGAUAACCUAACUUGCAAAAUCUAUAAAAAUUGUACAUGCAUUAUGCCGGAUGUGCAUCAUCAGCAUUUUCCAGCUGAUAAAUUGUGUACCUAAGGAUCCUUAUAUAAAGGUAACCCCUUUUUUAUUA